UUUUUUUUUUUUUUUUUUUUUUAAAUAGUUGAUUUCCAGUGUUCUGUCAAUUUCUGCUGUACGGCAAAGUGACCCAGUUAUACAAAUAUAUAUAUUAUUUUUUCACAUUAUCCUCCAUCAUGUUCCAUUACAAGUGAUUAGAUACAGUUCCCUGGACUGCACAGCAAGAUCUCAUUGCUUAUCCACUCCAAAUGCAACAGUUUGCAUCUAAUAACCCCCAACUCCCAGUCCAUCCCACAAACUUGGCCAUUUCUGCCAUCCCUCCAAAGAAAGACAGGGCAUUACUCACAUUAGCUUGUUAUUAGGUUAUUAAUCGUGUAAAUUUACCUCCACUCAUUCAAUAGGGAAGGUUUCUGACCUAAAAAGAUACUUUCUGAAGCUAUUUUUAAGCCAAGAACCUUAUUCCAACUAACUUCAAGUAAGACCAGACCUAUAAAAAUGGCUUACACGGGGUUCCAGCGGUUAAAGGAUCUGGAGUUGUCCCUACCGUGGCUCUGGUCACUGCUAUGGUGUAGGUUUGAUCCCUGGCCUGGGAAUUUUCUGCCCAGCCAAAAACUUUAAAAAAAAAUUUUUUUUUUUAAAUGGCUAACAAAGACAUUUCUCGUGUUCAAGGACCAGUCCAACUUCAUAUUUAUAUAGUACCAUGCUAUUGAAAAAGCACCCUGAAACACUGACUGGGGGAGGGGUGAGCAGCUUUGCACAAAACGGCAAGGGGAGAUAAACAGUUCCACUAAAGACAAUCCAGUAGAAACUGGUGAGAAGUCCUUUCCCAGGAAACCUAAGCGCUAAAUGCUUCCUGUUAACAUCACCCAGGUAUCCUAGUCACACUGAUCAGGAUAAACGAGGAGAGAAAAUUGCCUGCAGGAAGCCAAUGGGAGAGAGCUCUCGAGAAUGGUCUAUACGCACCAUGAGUGCAAGCGUGCUACUCAAAAAAACUUAACAGCAUUUUACACUUCACUGUGCCUUUUUCUCCAAUCAGGACUCUAAAGGCAUAUCUCAAAAUCAUGGUUUAUCCCAAAGGGGAUAAAAGGAGCAGAGUAACCGGUCCCCAAAGCAGAAACUUUGCCUCUGUGGCCCCAGAGUCCUCUGUAUCCGUUUUAACUAUUGAAGACAUCAGUGCUUUCAGGGAACCCACAUCUUUAAUGAAAAAAAAAAAAUGAAAUACUACAAGGGCCUGCCAGGAUGGAAAUUAGCUCAACAUUAAUGACCAGAAAACUGUGCUAAUACUUAAUAAAUAUGGUGGAGUUAUUUUCUCAACAGCUUUUCUUUAAUGUUUCUACACUCUAUUCAUAGAUUCUCCUUUAAUGUUCCGAUCACUGAUAGCCCAUGCACAGAAAGUAAUCCAAAGAAGAAAGAUGUGCUGGGCCACAUUCUCCUAAGCCCUACAAAUAAUGUAGAAGUGAUGGCAUCCUUUAAGCCAGAACUAGGGUAAAGAUGAAGGUAAGGGGAUAAGGGUGACAUUUUUUAAUACAGUGAAGUUUUAGUUAUCAGUCUUCUUAGCUUUUAUGACCUUGAACUCACUUGGCUUAAGAUGAUUUCUCCAUUUCCAUCCCACCCCAGUGAUGGAGAGCAGAAGGACUUGGGGGUGGGAAGGAAAGACUCACCCUAUCUUUUAAGAGCAAAGCAUGCCUCCUCGCCUAAGUGUCUGUUCAAGCUAACUGCUAUCAUAGAUUAGCCUUAAUAUAUCUGUUCGAGUAUAAUAAGGUUUUGUUUACAGGACAACCACCCAGUUUGGUGUGGGGGGGUGAGGUAGAAGGGGAGCUGAGGUAUAUGUCCGUGAAGUAAUUU
ensembl:lncRNA